UAUAUAUAUUGUUAUGUGCAGCAAAAUAGAAAAAGAUAACAAAGAAAUAUGAUAAAGAACCAGAACAGAAAGGGAGAGAUAGAAUGAAAGGAAGGAGAGCGAGGGAAAGACAGAAGAAUCCUGAGGUGUGAUAAGCGCCUGCCCACUUUCACUCAUUUACUUUAAAAUCUCACGCAUCUAUCUAAUCUUUUUAAAUUAAUUUUGACAACCUCCCUUUGCCCCCUCAUGUUGUAUACGAUAUAUUAUAUAAUAGAAGAGUUGACCUUGCCUACAGAGUAAUCAGAUCCCAUCCAGCCCCUAUAGUUGGCUCAUAAUAAUUUCUGAAACAUAAUGUUCUUUUACAGUAAAGUUUGUGAGUUGUGUAGAGAACAAAGUGAGUGGUGCAGCCUGCUUCCUCCCCUUUUCCACCCUCCUGCAUGAGUCACUGCCUGAGACAUGAGGCAGAGUUGCUAUCCCACAAGUCCAGCCAGGCCAAGUGUUGGUAAUCGGAGCUGGGCAAAACCACAUAGGUUUUACAGAGGAUGGAGAUGAGAAUUGUUUACUGAUAAUUUUAAAUGGCAAGUCACAACUUCACCCACCUGAUUUUAUCUACCUGUCCUAUCUAUUUCUUCCCACAGUGAGCUGCAACCUGCUUUUGUAGUGUUUGAUGGCCCAUACCUUAAUCCCAAUACAGUCAUCCCUUGUUAUCCAUGGGGUUAGGUGAUAGACACAUCCGUGGAUAAGGAAAUCCAUGGAAAAAUAGUGCCCCCUUAAGAAUAUCCUUGAGCCUCCAAAACCUUAUUUAAGUAACAUAAGACAUGCCUUCCUGUAAUUUGUUUUCUAUGUUAACCUUCUCCUUCAGUCACCCCCUUCCUUGUGCACUUUGGAAUAUCUCUAGCCAGUUUCUUUGCAGGUCUCUUAGGAGCCAUGGUGAAGAAAAUCUUAUGUUCAUACAAUAUAGUUGUGAAGAUGUGGUACGGGGCAGCGGGGAUACGAGUGAGUUUACUGUGAGACUAAGGAUAAUGACAUGCAGUUGCAGGCCACAGCAGUGGAGCAUGGGAACACUGUGUGGCGAGCAGGUGAGCAGCAGGUGAUUUGAAUUUGUGGUUGGCAGCAAUCCAUAUAAAAGUAAAACUGUGGAAACUGAAACUGUGGUUAACAAGGGAUGACUGUACUAUUGUUUGUGUUCCUUCCUUGAUAUCAACCCAUAUCAACUAUGUGUUGUUAUCAGUUAUUAUGCUGCUGUUAACACAACAUUGUAAUGUGUCUCGAAGAUAAAAUGCUACAUCAUC